rnacentral:rRNA from 1 species
GUGGGGGAUAUUGCACAAUGGGCGAAAGCCUGAUGCAGCGACGCCGCGUGAGGGAAGACGGUCUUCGGAUUGUAAACCUCUGUCUUUGGGGAAGAAGAUGACGGUACCCAAAGAGGAAGCUCCGGCUAACUACGUGCCAGCAGCCGCGGUAAUACGUAGGGAGCGAGCGUUGUCCGGAAUUACUGGGUGUAAAGGGAGCGUAGGCGGGGAUGCAAGUUGGAUGUUUAAACUAUCGGCUCAACCGGUAAUUGCAACCAAAACUGCAACUCUUGAGUGAAGUAGAGGCAGGCGGAAUUCCUAGUGUAGCGGUGAAAUGCGUAGAUAUUAGGAGGAACACCAGUGGCGAAGGCGGCCUGCUGGGCUUUAACUGACGCUGAGGCUCGAAAGCGUGGGGAGCAAACAGGA